AUUGAACGCUGGCGGCAGGCCUAACACAUGCAAGUCGAGCGGCAGCGGGAAAGUAGCUUGCUACUUUUGCCGGCGAGCGGCGGACGGGUGAGUAAUGCCUGGGAAAUUGCCCAGUCGAGGGGGAUAACAGUUGGAAACGACUGCUAAUACCGCAUACGCCCUACGGGGGAAAGCAGGGGACCUUCGGGCCUUGCGCGAUCGGAUAUGCCCAGGUGGGAUUAGCUAGUUGGUGAGGCAAGGGCUCACCAAGGCGACGAUCCCUAGCUGGUCUGAGAGGAUGAUCAGCCACACUGGAACUGAGGCACGGUCCAGACUCCUACGGGAGGCAGCAGUGGGGAAUAUUGCACAAUGGGGGAAACCCUGAUGCAGCCAUGCCGCGUGUGUGAAGAAGGCCUUCGGGUUGUAAAGCACUUUCAGCGAGGAGGAAAGGUUGAUGCCUAAUACGUAUCAACUGUGACGUUACUCGCAGAAGAAGCACCGGCUAACUCCGUGCCAGCCGCCGCAGUAAAAC
rnacentral:rRNA from 1 species